GGGCCCGCACAAGCGGUGGAGUAUGUGGUUUAAUUCGAUGCAACGCGAAGAACCUUACCAGGGUUUGACAUCCCGCGAAUCUCUUGGAAACGAGAGAGUGCCUUCGGGAGCGCAGUGACAGGUGGUGCAUGGCUGUCGUCAGCUCGUGUCGUGAGAUGUUGGGUUAAGUCCCGCAACGAGCGCAACCCUCGUCCUAUGUUGCCAGCACGUAAUGGUGGGAACUCAUGGGAUACUGCCGGGGUCAACUCGGAGGAAGGUGGGGAUGACGUCAAAUCAUCAUGCCCCUUAUGUCUUGGGCUUCACGCAUGCUACAAUGGCCGGUACAGAGGGCUGCAAUACCGCAAGGUGGAGCGAAUCCCAAAAAGCCGGUCUCAGUUCGGAUUGAGGUCUGCAACUCGACAACAUG
rnacentral:rRNA from 1 species